rnacentral:lncRNA from 1 species
GGAAGAUAGGCAGUUCCAGCCACCAGGUCAGCAUCAUCACGGGGAGCUGAUGGAAUGGCUCUUUGUGGCUGACGUUCAGGGUGAAAAAUCAGGGCGGGCCUGGAGACACCUGCUUAGGAAUAUCAGCCCUCAGACAGAGAGCUCGAUAUGUAGCCAAUGGAGCAAACAUACAGGGGCCAGGCAGAGGAUCUUUGUCCCUUUCUUACUAUCUCUAAUGAAUUAUGUUUCUCUGAGCGUGAUGACUGAUACUCUAUUUACACCUUCCAAAUCUCAUAAACAACUCUUCGGCCACUUUAACUCAGAAAGAUAACAUACGGAGAGCUUUUCAGAAACACAGGGAAAGGUGAUUAUUUAUUUUAACUGUGAAAGGUAAACCAAGAAACUUAUGGGACUUAUAAUGGAAAUUAAUGAUAUUUGGGUAGGCAAAGAUUUCUCAGCUACAAAGAAUGCUAAUCAUAGAGAAAAAUACUGGUUGACUGGACUAUGUUAACAUUAAAAGAUUUUAUUUACCAAAAAACAACCUUAAGAGGGUGAAAGAAAACUUUGUGAAAUAUAUUUAUAAUAUUUAUAACACGUGAAAACUCAUAUUCAGAAUAUUUAGAGAAUUUUUAAAAUAUAAUAAAGAAAAGAGUCCAACCAAAAUUUAAACAAAAACAUCCCCUCAUGUCACACAAAGAAGUAACAUCAAAUUGCCAAUAAGUAUACAAGAAGAUGCUUAAUCGUAUUAGUCAACAAGAAAAUGUAAAUUAAAACUACAAUAAAAUACCACUACAUAUCCAUCAAAUUUUCUAAAAUUAAAAAUAGUCUGGCAAUAUCAUGUGAUUGUGAGGAUGGAGAACCUUUGAAAGUGUAAUAUACUACUGUUGAGAGUGUAUAUUUGUACCACUUUGAAAUGUUGGUGUUGUCUACCAUUUUGCAUGUCCACAUACAUAUAAUUCAUCCAGAAACUUUAGUCCUACAUAUAUACUCCCCACAAUGAGUGUAUAUAUAUUCCAAAAGUGUGUAAAAGGAUGUUUCUAACACUAUUAAUGAUAAUAGUCUCAACUCACAUAUCAAUCAAUAGGGAGUGGAAUGAAUAGAUUGUGGAAUAUAUAUAUGAUGGAAUAUUCUACAGCCAUGGAGAUGAACAAACUAUUAAUGCACACAACAGUAUAGAAUGAAUAAAAGAAAUCUUCUAGAAGAAAAACAUUCUAUGCAAUUUACCACAUAGAAAAUUUAAAAAUCCAAAACUACACUAUGAUGUUAGAAGUCAAGGUGGUGGUUUUCUUUUGACAGAAAGGAGUAGUAUAGGUGGGGAUUGAAGACAGCCUCUGGGGUGCUGAUAAUUUCCUACUUCAUUUGUGGUGUUACACGGAUUUGUUGACUUAAUGUACUUUUAUUAUUUAUGCACAUAUUACACACUUUAGUGAUAUGUUUGAUACAAAUAUUAUAUCCAAGACUUAAUAGUCCUAGAAUCGGCCAGGCACGGUGGCUCACGCCUGUAAUCCCAGCACUUUGGGAGGCCGAGGCGGGCGGAUCCCGAGGUCAGGAGAUCUAGACCGUCCUGGCUAACACGGGGAAACCCCGUCUCUACUAAAAAUACAAAAAAAAAAAAAAAAAAAAAAAAAAAAAAAAAAAAAAUUAGCCGGGCAUGGUGGCAGGCGCCUGUAAUCCCAGCUCCUCCGGAGGCUGAGGCAGAAUGGCGUGAACCCGGGAGGUGGAGCUUGCAGUGAGCCGAGAUCGCGCCACUGCACUCUAGCCUGGGCAACAGAGACUCUGUCUCAAACAAAACAAAACAAAACAAAACACCACGACCACAACAACAAAACUAGUCCUAGAAUCACACUCUUUGGACUUAAAUGUCAUUUCUCCAAAAAUUGCAGGUGAGAAGAAAUCAGCUGAAAAAGAAUUCUUUCAAAGACAAAAUAAGCACGAAUCCUCACCAGUAGAAAAAAGGCUUGGAAACGCCAAGGAAGUUCAUAGAAGGCAGGAUGAUUAAAUAUAAUUAAAUGCGCUUUUCCAGAAUAACCACGCUUCACUCAAAUGUCACCUGCUAACAAAGAAAUUGCUUGAUUCUCUAUCAAAAGUAGCACCUCUUUUCUUCCUUUCUUCUUGCUUUGCUCCACUGUUUUCUUCCUAGUACUCAUAGACUAAUAGCAUUAUAAUAAGAUAGGCUUCACUUCGUGUGGCUCUCAUAUGCAUGGAUUUUUCUUACUACAGUUUAGUUAGAUAGCAGGAGUCCCCCAACUACAUUGACCAAAUUUCAGUUUUCAUGGGAUAGUCACUGAGAAUAAUUACGUAAAUAAAAACUUCACCACUACCUCUUCAUUGCAUAAAUCACAAAAUCAGUGACAUUGAAAUAGAAUAAAACAGAUUUGUAGAAGAAAUAGCUGACCAUGGAAAUAUUGAUACUGAGUUGUUUCAGGGACCCUAAACACACAGCGAGAGGAAUCUAGUGAAGGCAAAUUUAUUGGCAUAAGUGAGAAAAGUGGCUAUGACAAAAAGAAUAAAGAUGUCCCAAAGGAAGUGGUGCCAGGAAAAGAAAAAAAAGUUGAAACUUUGCAUUAAAGGAAUUUCAGAGACACUUCACAUUAUGGAAAACACAAAGGAUAGCUUGAUGGAAAAUGAUGCAAACUUAGAAAGAAACAUGGUAAUUUUUCAAGGUGUAGAAACAUGUUCACUCCAUUUUGUAAAUUAUACAACUUGAAGAAAAGAACACUGUUCAAAACUAAUUCUGGUAAGUUUUUUAAAAAGCAAAACACAUUAAUUCUCAAUGUUUUUAAUAUUUUAUAGCAUACUAGGUGUUACAUUUUAUACUUUUUAUUUUCCUACACAUUUAAGGUGGGCAGUAAGACAGUUUUUAAUGUUUAGACAAAAUUUUUAAAGGUAACUGAAUAAUAAUAUUUUUUAUAUUAAUUAUUGGGGCUUUUUUCUUGUAAGGAGGAAGGGGAGUUGGCACUAUCAGGAAAAGCAAUUCUGCCUAUAGUAUACUUGUGUUUUUCUUGUUCUUUUGUUGUGCCUUUUGUCUCUC